rnacentral:lncRNA from 1 species
GCCCCCUCUUCUCUACUAGUUGGGAGAUUGAAUAAGGAUGCUUUCAGAUCUGGAAUGGGUAAUUUUAGAUAUGGUAUCGAUAGGAUUCAAGGAGAGGAAGAACAAGGUGAAGACGGGCAAAGGCUGCAGUUUUGUAAAAGCCUGAGGGUCUCUUUCUCUUGUGCGGUAUAGCUCCAGUUGUUGGAUGCUCUAAUUAUUUAAUUUUUAGGAGGA